rnacentral:rRNA from 1 species
UACAGAGGUCCCAAGCGUUGUUCGGAUUCACUGGGCGUAAAGGGUGCGUAGGUGGUGAGGUAAGUUUGAUGUGAAAGCUCCGGGCUUAACCCGGAAAUGGCAUUGAAUACUAUCUCGCUUGAGGGUUGGAGGGGAGACUGGAAUUCUUGGUGUAGCAGUGAAAUUCGUAGAUAUUCGCAAGAACACCAGUGGCGAAGGCGGCUCACUGGCCCGGUACUGACGCUGAGGUGCGAAAGCGUGGGGAGCAAACAGGG